AAUGAACGCUGGCGGCGCGCCUAAUACAUGCAAGUCGAGCGAGAAGACGUAGCAAUACGUUUGUAAAGCGGCGAACGGGUGAGGAAUACAUGGGUAACCUACCCUCGAGUGGGGAAUAACUAGCCGAAAGGUUAGCUAAUACCGCGUACGCUCCUUGGACUUCGGUUCAGGGAGGAAAGCGAUACCGUGGGUAUCGCGCUCUUGGUUGGGCUCAUGUCCUAUCAGCUUGUUGGUGAGGUAACGGCUCACCAAGGCUUCGACGGGUAGCUGGUCUGAGAGGACGAUCAGCCACACUGGCACUGCGACACGGGCCAGACUCCUACGGGAGGCAGCAGUAAGGAAUAUUGCGCAAUGGGCGAAAGCCUGACGCAGCGACGCCGCGUGGGGGAGUGAAGGUCUUCGGAUUG
rnacentral:rRNA from 1 species